UAAUACGAAGGGGGCUAGCGUUGUUCGGAAUCACUGGGCGUAAAGGGCGCGUAGGCGGCUGUUCAAGUCGGGGGUGAAAGCCUGUGGCUCAACCACAGAAUUGCCUUCGAUACUGGACGGCUGGAGACCGGAAGAGGUCAGUGGAACUGCGAGUGUAGAGGUGAAAUUCGUAGAUAUUCGCAAGAACACCAGUGGCGAAGGCGGCUGACUGGUCCGGUUCUGACGCUGAGGCGCGAAAGCGUGGGGAGCAAACAGGAUUAGAUACCCUGGUAGUCCACGCUGUAAACGAUGAAUGCUAGCCGUUGGCCGGCUUGCCGGUCAGUGGCGCAGCUAACGCUUUAAGCAUUCCGCCUGGGGAGUACGGUCGCAAGAUUA
rnacentral:rRNA from 1 species